rnacentral:lncRNA from 1 species
GGGCGUACCCCGGGGGCCUGACUCAGGUGUGGGGGGCGACGGGCGGGCGCGCGGGGGGAGCCGGGAAGCUGCUGGAAGAGGAGGGGCUGGGCGGGGUGUGAAUGGAUGCGGGUGCACCUCGGGCCCGGGAAGAGGCCGAGGGGCGGGCGGUGCGAGCGCGGGCUGUGGCCUCCGCAGAGUUGGGUGAACUCGGGGAAGUCACCCAAACCCUCAGGGCCUGUUUCCUGUUCUCUAAAAUGGCAACAGUAGUAGAUCCGACCUCAUAGGCGCUUUUGGUGGUUUUGACGAAUUUAUGGAACUUUCUUAAUACAGAGCCUGCCCUGUGGUAUUUGGUGGAUGGUGGUGGUUAAACACAGGAACCGGGAAAGAAGAGCGGCUCAGAGGGUGGCGACCCCCGUCUCUAGGGGGAAGGUGUGUAUGCCAGAAACGGGGAGACAAGGGGAUGCAGAAGCCAAAUUUCUGUGGACACCGAAUGUUCGGGACAGGACAUAAUCAGAGCUAGCAGUUUUGAGGGACCGAUUAUAUACUUAGCAGUUCACCUGAAUUAUCCUCAUAAUCUUAUGAGGUCGGUAACUAUUAUUAACAUUUUACAAAUAAGGGACCUAAGGCUCAAGAGAGGUUAAGUAACCUUCCAGAGGUCACAGAGUAAGUGGCCAACACCUACAGUCAGACUCCAGAGCCAGAUUUUGUCCUAAGAGCCAUUGUAGUUUCUUGAGCAAGUCCUGACAGGGGAAGUGGUUAUGUUUAAGUGAUCAGAUUGAAUAAUUAUGAGGUGUCUCUGAAGUUGGCCUUCAGGAAAUACCAAAAAUGUAUGAAGGCCCCUGCCUUCAGAGAAUUUACAAAUUUUAGGGGCAAUCUCCCGUUCAGGCAGAAGAAAUCAGCCAGCAUUUGAUGACCAUUUGCUCUUUCCCCCAACCGAGUCCUUCCUUCCUCCUCCCACCCUUGAUUCUCACAAAAACCCUGUGAGAUUGGCUCUAAGGUUUUGUUUUACAAGUGAAGAACUGAGAUUGAAGAGUGGGGAUUGAAGGGUCCGGUUCUGAGAGGUGAUUGUGCUUUCCCCUUACCCACUCUGCUUCUGUUUCACACAACGAAAAGUUUUCAGUAAUAGUUCAACACCUUAGAAGACGGUAUGGAAUCUAUGGCCAAGUACUGUGUAUGAGCAGUAAUUAAUUGCUUCUCACCUUUGAUAAAUGCUGAGAAGGAAGGCACUUUAGGCCAUGGGGGUGUCUAGGACUUAGAACAGUAGUGCUUUAGGAUUGUUAGGGUGGUAGCAGCAUUCAUGGUAGACGGUAGGAGAAUUGAGUUAAGGAGACAGCAUGGGACUGGUUCGGACAUGAGCUUAUCAGGGCCUGAACUAUAGAAUGGAGUGGGAAGCAGUAGAUUAAGAUGAUUCUAGGAAACCCGAAAAGAAGACUUAUAUAGGGUGGGAUGGGUUUAUAUUAUCAACCCAGGAGCCAGAUCUCCACAGUUUCAAUUUUGAUACUUGGCACUUAUAAGCUCUAUAUCCUUAGGCAAAUUAUUUUACUCUUUAAGCCUCAUUGUCUGCUUUGUAAAACAAGGAUAGUACCUACCUCCUAGGGUUGUUAUAAUAAAAAUACUAUUUACUUAAGUGUUUGGCAGAAAGUAAGCACUAAAUAAUUGUAUAACCGUGGAAACCCGUGAAACCGAGCCCUAAAGAUUAAUCCUAAAGGCACUUCACUUGAAUAGACCCCUUCCAGGACCUGACAGGGGCCCUAACAAUGUGUUCACAGGAUUAUAUUAGUGUUCUAUUGUAAUUUUGUAUUCCUUUUCUUGAAAAUGUCCACCAAAAUUGUGUAUGCUGCAUGCUCCACAAAAUCUGGAUCUGUCCCUAGUAGAAACUGUAGUGUUGUGAAGAGUACAUACUUUGGGAUCAGAAGGUUUGUUCCCAUAAUUUACUAUUGGUGUUACUCUGGACAGUUAAUUCAUUGAACCAUUGAACUCUUCUGGGCCAGGUAAAUUGGAGAUAAUAUCUAUCAGCCCAAGCUAUUGUGAUAAUCAAGUAAGAGUAUAUGCAGAAGGGGUUGGUAAAACUUGGAAAGCACUCCACAAGUGUUUAUGAUUAACAUUAUAAUUUGUUUAUAAAGUGCAUAAGAGGGAAAGAUCAAAAGCAAGGAAAAGGUUUUUAGCUGAAAAAGUAGAAACAGGGUGGGUGAGCUGGCAAAACUGAUGAAAUAAUACAGGUAAAAUGUUUUUCUGCCAAGUUUCUUCCUGAUUAAUCCAUGAGACAUCGAAGAAAUAAAAUUGUAGUAGUUGCAGGAUCAGAAAUUUAGAGCCGAGAGGAGGUUGAAGAUCAUCUGACACAACCCACCACAUUUUACGGAAAUGGAAAUUAAGGUCCAGAGAGCUAAAAGAUUUUUCUAAGGUCACUCAUCUAAUAAAUGGCACGUACCAAGUAAUCUUUAAGAUAAAAAGCAUUUCACAGUGGGGUCUUUCAGAAUCAUUACAUCAAAACCAGAGAAGGCAUGAUAUUCUCUAGUGGCUUUUGGUUUUAUCAUGAAAUUCUUCAGAUUCACCUUCCUGUUUUAGAGGCUGAUAGACUGGAUGAUGCAUGGGUAAUCUGCUGUUGGCAAGCUUGUUAAGUGACCAAAACUUCUGAAGAUUUUAAGGUAAGAGUUAUAACCAGAAAUUUGUAAUGGGAUGAGAAAUGCAAAAAAUUUGAAAAUGUGUAACAGUUACUAUUUAAGCUGAGUAAGUUAUCCAGUUGCUUUAUCUAAAAAGGAAAAUAAUAAAAUUAUAAUUUAUUUUUUCUGGAAUUAAAAUACUACACUUACAUUCCCCUUAAUUAUUCCAUCAUUUGUCUGUGUUAGGAAAUAGGAAGAUGCUGUUAUUCACAUUUCACUAGCACCAAACAAAGCAGGAAAGGGUUUUUUAUUAUAAACACAACAAUACUUAAUUGAUUAAGAAAAAAUCCCCAUUUAUAAUUUAUGAUAACUCAGAAUAUAGGAAAUGAAAUUUGAAAUUUGCCUUCAACCAAAUUGCCUGUGGCUCUGUUUGUAUGUGGCAGUCCAGUUCCUAUACCCUUACUCCAUUCGUGGUUUGAUACAGCUUGUCUCCUGCUGCUUCUCUCUGCCAGCACAGAGACAGUUUUGGUCUAUGCUCUUUCUAAUCUAUAUCAUUGUUUAGGAUCUUUCCUAGUAAUCAUUCCUUCUAGGCAUGGCCCUCCAUAUUUGCCAGACCUGUCUACCUCCUUGAUCCUGGCUAACCCUGGGCUUCUUCCUUCCUUUUACCUUUUCUCCCUCCUUCCUUCCCUCCCUUUCUUCCUGUCUUUAGUAUUCUAGGCAGAUGGGGUCGGGAUUGGAAAUAUAAUAAUAAUAAUAAUAAUGAUGAUGAUGAUAAAUUGGUGUUAUAAUUAGGGAGUGCUUACUAUAUGCCAGGCAUUGAUCUUAGCACUUCAUAUAGUAAUUCAUUUACUAUUCAUAAAAAUACUAUGAACUAGGUACUGUUACAAUCCCCAUUUUACAGACAGAUACAGAUACAAGAAGUUAACUUGCUUAAGGGCAUAUAAUAUUUUCUGGAAUCAUCAGGAAGUAUUCAUUUAGUUUUCACCAAAAAUACAGGAGCAGAAAUGGUUAUAAAUAACUAUUAAUACCAUAGGAAACUAAUCCCUAGAGUUUGAAGACCUCUUGAUUUAGGAAGAUCCUGUUCUAGUUUCCUUCUACCCAUCACAGGGCUAAACAAUCCUUAUAAAAGCUGUUGGCCACAAAAUCUGCCUUUGAAACCAGAAAGUGCACUGCAGGAAACUACUCCCUGAUUAUCUGAAUUUGGGAUUGUUGUGAGCCUCUAGGCAGUAAGUUGGGGGUGGAGACAUUGGGACAUAUUUUUUAAAGCUUAAUUUUAAGAUUACUUGUAUUCCAGGAAGUUCUGGGUGUCCUGGCACCUAUAUUCCAUGUUGUAAGAUCUUUCAUUGUGAGAACUUGGAUCUUAUGGCUCUUACCCAACAGCAGCAGCAGGCAGUUGGAAAUUCUGAACAGCUGCACCUCAAGCUUGAUGUGAGUUAGAAGAGGGGUGCAUGCAAUGAAGGAGACCUCUUAGAUCAUAAUGAUUAGCUUUAUGUAUCCACCUGCCUGGGUAGCCAGACCUGGGUGUUCUAACUGGACCUUGAUGCUGCUGCACUGGUGAAUGAGAUGAGGCUUAAAUAAAGCAUGAGCUUAAUCUGUGGUGACCUCUGAGAACUGUGAAUCUGCCACAGUGCCCCGUGCCACACAAUAUCUAUGACACCUGUGCCCAAGUGAGGUCCAGGGGCUACCAACCUCACUUCUGAGCUGUGUAUUAAUAGAGUGAAGCCUCCUCCCUCCCCCCACCACCUUACAUUUUGCACAAACCAUGAGUUCAGAUGUUAUGCCUGCUGUGCUUUGGUAGGAUUAUUUUUAUGGCCAUAGAGUGAAGUUAUACCUCUUUGGUAGGUAUAUCUACCUUUGGGUAGGGUGCAGAGUUUCCUUAAAUAAGACAUUCUUAUUAUCAGUCAUUCAAAGAAGAAGAAGGUCCUCAUACAGGAAAAACUUGGAACAUAGAACAGAUAGAAGGUGGCACUGGUGGAUUUACCUUUUCAGGGUUUGAACUUAGAGGAGUUAGAAAAUGUUGAGGGCCCUCCCCACUUACAUAAGGGAAAUGGCCUGUGCCACAGAGCUGCCUAGUAGGAGCCAGGCUGACAGGCUUCUGUGGAUACCCAAAAGGGAAGGUAAGUACUCAUGUUUUGUAAGUCUGUUGAUUGAUGCAUCACUCUACCUUAUCCCUGAAUUUUAGCCAAGUUUAAUCUAAAUCACCGAUUGAAAAUUGAAAAGCCUUCAAGGACUAGGAAAAGGUAACCAAGCCCAGUAUAAGGAGUGGUGAGCAGCAUGGUGAAAGUGACCAUACCCAUCUAGGCCUCAAAGUUCAGAUGUUUCAAAUGUGCUUCAUGAAGCCCUUCCCUAAAUAAUACUAAUCACAGUACAAGUUUACUGGACAUUUUUACAUCAUACAUUGUUCAAUAAUGCAGAAGAAAAUAGAGUUUUUUAAACUCCUAAUACUUUAUUUUUAAUCAGUAUGAAGGGGAAAACAAUAGUGAUAGGAAAUUGUGUGGAGGGUUGAAAAUGAGGAAUGGGCAGGCAGUAGGGAGGAGGCCAAACAUAUUACAGCAGCUAGUCUGUUCCAGCUUGAGCUCUGCUGAGCUAUUUAAGAAGCAGGUAAGCAGUGCCUGGGUGGUUCACUCGGUUGAGCACUUGACUUCAGCUUGGGUCAUGAUCCUAGGAGUUGUGGGAUUGAGGCUCAGCAUGGAGCCUGCUUGAGAUUCUCUCUCUGUGUCCCCCCUGCCCCUCUCCCUGCUCACACUCUAUGUCUUAAAAAAAAAGAAAGAAAGAAAAGGGAAUGCUCCCAACCCCCAGUCUUCCUCGUGGUGUCAGUGAUAAUUUAUGAAAGUUUCCCCAAGGAAAAGUUUAAGUCAGAACAAGACUCUUAGUAACAAGAUUUGGCAGUCUCCUCCCUAUGUGGAGAUUCUCCUUUUGUUGUCACCUUUGGCAGAUCAAGAUUCAAGUUUAAGAGACCCAGUGGAUUUCCUGACAACUUCUUCCACAAUUUUCUCUCAUCUCAGGCCAUGGUUCCAUUUUGGUCAUGGCUACAGUGACUGAAAUGGCCCACUAUACUCUUGGCAGUGGACAGCCUUCAGCCUCAGAUGCCAAGCUAACUGCUUAUAGACAAUUCUCUCUAGUGUCUUCAAACUCAUAGUCUCACACUGAGGGCUUUAAUUUUAUCCUGUUUUGGUAGAGCCCUCUUUAAGUCUUCUAGGUGUGCAUAUAUACCUCUGACUAUUUAUCACCUCUGAUCUAGUAGCAAGAAAGAAACUGGAAAAUCUUGUAGUAGAGGAAUACCCUUUGUGCUAUGCUACCAACUUCGAGGACUGCUGACCUGCUCAGUACCUCAGGGCCAGAAGUAUAGUAACUCUCAUCAAGCUCAGAAUACACCAUUCUGGGGCCACCCAGGUGGCUCAGUCAGUUAAGCAUCUUGACUUUCGGCUCAGGUCAUGAUCUCACAGUUCGUGGUUCCAAGCCCUGUGUCGGGCUCUAUGCUGACAGCUCAGAGCCUGGAGCCUGCUUUGGAUUCUGUGUCUCCCUCUCUCUUUGCCCCUCCCCUGCUCAUGCUUUCUCUGUCUCUCUGAAAAAUAAAUAAACAUUAAAAAAAAAAAAAAAGAAUACAGCAUUUCUGCUUCAGCCAUUGUUUUCACCAGUCUCUCGUCCCCACCAUGCACACACACCUUAUUGUUUGUAUACUCACCAUAGCCACAUCAGUGGGAACAAGAAUCUAGAAAAGUUAAAUGCUGCAGGAAGUUAACAAGAGGCACAAAGACAUAAAUUGCAACAGGUAAGACUCAUCAGGUGUAGACAUCUAAGUAGAAGACUGCAUACGGCCUUCGUCUCAUAUUCCAUUAGGCCCAGACAGGCUGGUAAUAGGGUUUUGCUUCUGUUUGCAAUGAAAAGAUAAAGUUAAUCUGGGAGCCCCUAACUCCCAUCUUGUAUAUCUCCUAUAGUUCACUAGUCAUUCUUUUGACCAAUGCAGGUGUGACCACAUCAGGCAUGAAACAGCCCAGACGUGCUUCAACCAUAACAUGGGAGUACGUGAUUCAGACUAUGUCGGCAACAUAGCUCACUUAUGGAAUCCAGUGGAAUGAGAGACAGAUGGACUCCAAGAGUCAUUGGGGAGAACUCUUCAUCACUGCAGCCAUGCACCUAAACCUAAACAGGUUUUUCUGCCAAGAAUCUAGGGAAAUCCCAUCCCAUCUCCCCAAAUUUAUAGAUAACAUCACUAAGGUUUUUUUUACCUGACAAGUACUAUAAAGCUGAGAUUGUGCUCACUUUGGUAGCACAUAUACUAAAAAAAAGCUGAGGUUUUUUUUUAACGUUUAUUUAUUUUGAGAGAGAGAGAGUGGGGAAGGUCCAGAGAAAGAGAGAGAGAGAAUCCCAAGCAGGCUCUGCCAUCAGUGCAGAGCCUGACAUGGGGCUCAGUCCCAUGAACCGUGAAGUCAUGACCUGAGCCUGAAAACAAGAGUUGGACACUUAACCAACUGAGCCACCUAGGCGCCCCUAUUAAGCUGAGAUUUAAACCUAGGUCUAUUUAACUUAGCCUGUGUUAAAUAUUAGGCUAUUUUCAUUUUAUUUUGUUCAAAAUCCUGAGGUCAUAGAGAAGAAUAGAAGGGUAGUGAUGAGGUGGAUAAUAGGAGGCAGAAAACGCAGGGUUGUUUUAAAGUCUCAACCCUGAGCCUUCUAUCUUUUGUACACUGUUUCUUCAUAGAAGACACUUUCUCCUACCUAGUAAGUUGUGUACAGGACAACAUGGAAAUAAAGGAGAGGCAGAUAGACCAACAAGGGAGUAAUUUUAGUAAUUCUAUUAUAUAAUUCAAAUCUCCUUGUAAUGCCAUUUAGCUUCCCCACUGAUUGAAUUAAUCAGGUUUCAUAAUUAUGUUUAUAAUCAGGUUCUUUCUACGUAAUUAUUGUUUGUACUUGAGCAAAUUGCUUAGGAAGGCCACCUCCAAAUCCAAAUUAAAUGUUUCAUUUCCUAUUUCCUUUAUGGGGGCACAUGAUUAUUUUGGGAAAAGCAUUGGCUUGACAAUUAAAUUCCAUGUCUUGCUGUAUCUCCUAGGGAAGACCUAGAUCUCUUUUAAUUAUUUUUUAACAUUACAUAUUCACAAGUCUUACCAACCCAUGGAUGGGAAGGAAGGGCUCUUAGUGGAUCCCUGAAGUAUUACAGACCUCAGGCAAACUUGUAUGCAGUCUUUGUAUUUUAAAAAUUCAGGUAUUCCGGGAAGCCUGGGUGGCUUAGUCAGUUGAGCAUCAGACUCUUGAUUUUGGCUCAGGUCUUGAUCCCAGGAUCGUGGGAGCAAGCCCCACAUCAGGCUCCAUGCUGAAUGUAGAGCCUGCUUGGGAUUCUCUGUCUCCCUGUGCCCCUACCCUGCUCAUGUUCUCUCCUCUCUCUCUCUCUCUCUCUCUCUCUCUCUCUUUAAAAUAAAGAAUAAAUAAGGGAGUAAAAUUCAUGUAUUCUAAAUCCCUAAUGAGUUGUCCACUAUUAAGAAUGCAAAAGCUUCAGAAUUCAGAAAUUACCUUAACAAUAUCAGAUAGCCAUAUAAACAUGUUGUGAUCUAAAUUAAACAUUCUCCAUGUAGAAAACUUUUCUUCGAGUUAGCAAAGCAAAUAAAAUUUCUCCUUAAUUUUCACCUGAAGAGGGAAAGCUAGGGUGAGUGAAGAACAGGGUGUAUUUUAAGCUAGGUAUGAAAGGCCUAAUAGAAAAAUCAAGGAUAGAUUUUUCUCUUGUAUGUUGAAGAGAAAUUUAAAUUAUGUGUUAGUGUUUGGUAUGCUUUCCUGUCAGUUUGGAAAGUUAACCCUUCCAGGACAAUCUCUACUAGAAAUUAAGGCGCUUUUUUUUCCCCCUAAAGUUUAUUUAUUUUGAGAGAGAGAGAGAGCAUACCCGUGGGAGGGGCAAAGGGUGAGGGAGAGAGAGAAUCCCAAGGCGGCUCCUUGCUGUCAUUGCAGAGUCUGAUACGGGACUCCAUCUCACAAAUCAGGUGAGAUCUUGACCUGAGCCGAAAUCGGGAGUUGGACACUUGGGGCUCUGUGCUGACAGUGUGGACCCUGCUUGGGAUUCUGUCUCCCUCCUUCUCUCUCUGCCCCUCCCCCACCUCAAAAUAAAUAAACUUAAAAAAAAAAAGAGUGGGAUGUUUAACUGACUGAACCACCCUAAGCUUUCUUUUCAAAAAGAUUUUUGCCUACUCCUUUUCAGAGAGAUAGCAAGACAUGUUUGACUGAAGAACAUUUGCCACCUUUUGGUUAUCCAGUGUAGUGUAGUACAGUUCCUUUUAUCCUACUUCCCUUUCUUUUCAUAGACUGGAAGAUAUCCAAAAAUAAACGUGUUCAGAAAUGGAGGUAUACAUACAUGAAAGCUAAGGACAGUCCCGUGUAUCUAGGUCUCUAGGCAAUCUUUUCCUGGUCUUUUCGUCUUGGUAUUCUACCCUUAUCAGAAAAAAAAAGAAAAAGAAAAAAAGGACUGUGCUGUAGACUCACUAUAUGAAAGUGCCUCACUUUCCUGAGAAUUUUGAUUCUUGUAUUCAAGAUAUAUGUGGAGUUUGGUUCAGUUAGAUUUAUGACACCAGAAUUGUUGAAAAGCAAUAAAUUACUACUAUAAUUUCUGUUUUAUUUUAAAUAAUAAUGAUCUCUGUUUUUAACUUGCUUGGGAAAGAACAAGCUAUGAACUUUUCUCAGCCUUUGAUGCAGGACUCCAGCUAAACUAGCAAAAGACACUGCCUCAAAGAAACUAAAUAUUUUUUUUCUUUAACAAUUUAACUUUCUAUCUUUUCUCCUUCAAGAUGUAUCAUUAUAAACUUCUUACAAACAAGGACUGUUUCUUCUCAUGGUAUCCUGCAGAUGGCCUUAUACAGACCUACAUAUGGCUAAUAAAAACUUGAGUAUUUUAAAACGGUGAGUCUCAAUGUAACGAUGAUGAUGGUAAAUGGCAACUAACAUUUAUAUAAAAAGUCUGUGCUAGACGCCGUUGUAAACGUUUCACACAGAAUUGCUCAGUGUAAAACCACUUUUAUCCAGUCAUCCUUAAUUUUUUGGCAAACCUCUUUCAGAAUCUGUGUUACAGUGAAUUCCACAAUUCAGCCUUCAUCUCCCCAACAAGAAUAGCUAGAAUUCCACUCUCAUCCUUUAUUAUUUUGACUCCAGGAAACUGUCACUUUUUCC